rnacentral:lncRNA from 1 species
GUAUAUAGAAGACUACUUAUCAUAUACUACAUGUCACAUUUUAAAUGUUCAGAAACAUUUACUUUGAUUUUAGUGUAAAAAUACUCAUCAAUUGAGGUGCUCUUGAAUUGGAGGAAGAUUCUAAAAACAGAACUUUACAGAAACAAUGAAAACUGCCGUUUCUCUCCCCAAUCUCAUGUAUCCCCAUUGACAUUGUUUACCGCGAAAGUUGACCUACAUAUUAUCUGAUUAUAGCCUCAGAUUUAAGCAUUGCAUGUUGGUGUGUGAAUCAUCUACACUACAGCAAACAUCAUUAGGUUUAUAUUUAACAAAUACGGAUUUUAAAUUAGUAUACAAGUACUGUGAAUGAUUUUUAUAAUGAAUAAAGGAUAUCCCUGUGUAGUGUGGCAUUCCAACAAUGACGUCACUAGGUUAGAUAUAUUUAGAAUAUUUCGUAAUACUGAUUUUUCCGGACUGUAAAAGAAACGUAUAAAGUGUAAGGGAAAGCUCAAUAUACGAUAAUUUCAUGAGAAACAGAAGGGAAAUGUGUAAAAAAUGUAUUUAAAGUCAAUCUGUUCUCCUUGUCAUCAAUUUCAGUAUGACAUUUUGAGGGGGUUUCCAAACUAUCAAAACAAAAUGAUUGACGUGAGGGAACGAUACUCUGGCCAAUCCCAUUAGGGAAUUGAAGGCUUGAAGCCGUCUUUCCCCAAAAA